GAUGAACGCUGGCGGCGUGCCUAAUACAUGCAAGUCGAGCGAACAGAUGAGGAGCUUGCUCCUCUGACGUUAGCGGCGGACGGGUGAGUAACACGUGGUUAACCUACCUCUAAGACUUGGAUAACUUUGGGAAACCGGAGCUAAUACCGGAAAAUAUAUUGAACUGCAUGGUUCCAUAGUGAAAGACGGUUUUGCUGUCACUUAUAGACUGAUCCGGCGCGCAUUAGUUAGUUGGUAAGGUAACGGCUUACCAAGGCAACGAGGCGUACCCGACCUGAGCGGGUGAUCGGCCACACUGGAACUGAGACACGUCCCAGACUCCUACGGGAGGCAGCAGUAGGGAAUCUUCCGCAAUGGGCGAAAGCCUGACGGUGCAACGCCGCGUGAGUGAUGAUGGUCUUCGGAUCGUAAAACUCUGUUAUUAGGGAAGAACAAAUGUGUAAGUAACUAUGCACGUCUUGACGGUACCUAAUCAGAAAGCCACGGCUAACUACGUG
rnacentral:rRNA from 1 species